rnacentral:rRNA from 1 species
AGUCAUAUGCUUGUCUCAAAGAUUAAGCCAUGCAUGUCUAAGUCCAAGCUGUGUUCACACGGCGAGACCGCGGACGGCUCAUUAAAUCAGUCGUGGUCCAAAUGGGCCAGUGCAAAUCCUACUUGGAUAACUGUGGUAAUUCCAGAGCUAAUACAUGCAACUGAUAUCCCGAAGGCGGUGUUGGGGCUUGCUUGCCUUGCGCUGCGCUGCUCUGACGGAUGCUUUUAUUAGACCAAGCCGCUGAGGACUUGAGGGUUCGCGCUCUCUUGUUUGACUCGUGUGAUGGUGACUCUGGAUAACCAAAUUCUGACAAGCGCACGUACUUCUCUUCUGAGCGAGACGGCGCUGCCACUUUCGAGUGUCUGCCUUAUCAGCUAUCAACCGUUCGUUAUGCGCGACCGAUGGCUUUGACGGGUAACGGGGAAUCAGGGUUCGAUUCCGGAGAGGCAGCCUGAGAGACGGCUACCACGUCCAAGGACGGCAGCAGGCACGCAAAUUACCCAAUCCCAGCAAAUGGGGGAGGUAGUGACGAAAUCUAACGAUGCGGGCGCCCUUUCUGGGGCCCCGCAAUCGGAAUGGGCACUUUCUAAACAACCUGUUGAGAACCUACUGAA